rnacentral:lncRNA from 10 species
AACUAGAUAGAGUUAGCACCAGUGACUACCACAGGGGCCCUCCCAGCCCCCUCACAGGUCACAUGCUCCUCUAACAUCCUCUACCCAGGGUCUCCAGCGGAAGGCUUAGCUCCUACACUCCUGACUCAAAAGAGAAAAGUGGCAGUAGGUCUACCCUUGCCCCCAACAUCCUGACAGAGACGUGUCUUCUCCAUCCAUGCUCUUCUCAAACCAUCCCAUCUGCCUUUGGCACAGUGGGUGACCUUCCAUCCUCCCUCCUGACUUCCAGACCUGGCUCACCUACCAGCUGCUCAGCGACUUCCACCCCCACAGUGACUCACCACUGCAGUCAUCUUAAUAUCCCCUCCAUGUGACACCUACGAGGAGAACUAUGUCCUGGACCUCAUCACCGUAGGUUCUUCAUCUGUAACACAUGGGGAUCCUUCUACCCGCCUUCCAGGCAGCUGCCAGCCAGCUCACUUCCUGGGAAUGCUGUGGACAAGCAGCCAGCCCCCCAAAGACCCAAAGCUGCUGAGUAGAUCAUUGCGCAUGCGCCCCGUAGACAUUGCGAACAUCAAAUCAAGUGGAUACUAAAGUGCUUUGUAAACCCAUAAAAUGCCGUUAUCCUCAUUCACUGAGAAAAUCCUAGAUACGAGUUCACUCUGUAUGGUUUUAUAUGUGCCCGUUCACCGUAUUUUAUUCAACUAUGUUUACUCUCUUAUCGGAUUUCUCACAGCAACUUCUACUAAUGUCCCCC